UACGUAUGGUGCAAGCGCUAUCCGGAUUUACUGGGUGUAAAGGGAGCGUAGGCGGCGCGUUAAGUCUGAUGUGAAAACCCGAGGCUCAACCACGGGAGUGCAUUGGAAACUGGCGGGCUGGAGUGCCGGAGAGGUAAGCGGAAUUCCUAGUGUAGCGGUGAAAUGCGUAGAUAUUAGGAGGAACACCAGUGGCGAAGGCGGCUUACUGGACGGCAACUGACGCUGAGGCUCGAAAGCGUGGGGAGCAAACAGG
rnacentral:rRNA from 1 species